GAGAGAGAGGAAGACACAGAAUCCAAAGCAGGCUCCAGGCUCUGAGCUGUCAGCACAGAGCCUGAUGCGGGGCUCAAACUCACAAGCCGUGAGACCAUGACCUGAACUGAAGUCAGACACUUAACUAACUGAGCCACCCAGGUGCCUCAAGAAGCUUCUUAAUCUAGACCUGGAAGUUUAGGAAGUGAAAACAGUAUUUUACAGGCUGUAAUGAUAGGUGGAAGGCCGUAUUUGAGGAGCUUCUGGAAAUGGGAAGUGAUUCCUCAGAGACUAGGCAGGAGGGAGGGCAUUAAAAGGAGCAAUUUGUGGGUCAGGAUUGGAGUUGAUAGCUUCCGCGUGACUCUUAGCUCAUGAGUUUUCUUCUGACCCAUCCCACUACCCAGGUUUCCUCUAGUCUGAUGUAUGUGCUCCUCCCCUUUGCUUAUCUGUCAUACCUGUAUGUUCUCUGUGACAACACUCAGCCUACUGUUCUCUGGAUGAAAGUCCUGGCAGAGCAAAAAUAACCUCUUGGAGUAGUGAUGUCUCUCUUCCAGAGCACUCCACGACACCACUUCUCAGCUACCACUGCUCAGUGGCUAAAGUGAUUGAUUUUGAGGAAUUGGGAAAAAAGAGCGUAUCUGCAUACCAGUGACCAGAAAAUGUGUUAACUUACUGAAGCAGUGAAACCAUACCUGGUACAGUAGCUACAACUGGAGUUGCUGCCUGGUUAAGCUUAUGAUAAUCCGCCAUCAUUCUCCAAUAGCCUUCUGUCUUCUGCACAGGCCACGUAGAUAGGCUAAGAACACCUCUACACCUCAUCAUGAGUCACCUAGGUAAUUAUUACCUGUUGAUUUUAUAAUAAAAUGCUACUUAUCAAAUCUAUCAUGUCACUCUUUACAUUAUUAAGAAAAAACAAUUUAUAUGGGCCAAAUUACACCUGGAGACUGAGGAGAAAAAAAAAAUUGUUAUGAUUUGUUUUUCAAUUUAACGACAUUCUGUGUCAAGAAAUCCUGCAAGGAACCUUCAGAUAGUACAAGGAGCUUUACUUCUCACGUACAGGAGGCCGUCCUGCCGUAACUCUGGUUAUCAGUAUCCACUUGGAAAUGAGGGACAAGGGGAGCCUUUCAAGCGCAGUCAUCUAUUGUUUCCUGGAGCUGAGCAUAUGUGAUGAGAACAGCCUUGGUCAGAACCAUGCAGCCGCCGAAUAGUCUUUGUGUCACAGGAGUGGAACGCUUGGAUUUUAGUCACCUUCUUUACUUGGAUAAGCCACAGAAACAAAAGCUAAACCUGGUGCGUAGCCAUGGUUCAGUUCACCCAUGAUAGGCCCUGAGAAGUUAGCCUUGGUUUCAGAUAUGUGUAAGUAAGCCAUGGUGAUUUGAAGUUGGGGAGAAUGAGAUGUGGUUGAUGACAUUUCCUGAGGAUCUGUUGAGUAAGCGGGAGACUCAUGUUUCUAAGGAGCAUUCGGUUACUUCAGGUCAAAGAGAUUUGCAUGAGAAAUUUGUGCACCUGGAAAUAUAAAUUGCACGCUUAAUAAUUGCAUGUGCAGUAAGGGAAGUUUUAUUAAGGCCUUGAGGAAGAUUGGACUCACUGGCCAUAUGUGCUAACAGCAGUGAGGAGAAAACACGGGUCUAGUUGAAAGGGAUUACAAUCUGGGUUUAGAGCAGGUGGGCGCUAGGAUUCGGAACAUUCUGACGAUGAGACCAGGAGGUAGAGCUGGGAAAGGCGUCUGGGCUAAAUGAGCAGCAGCAGAAAUCCAGUGCUUUUCCUUUUUAUGUGAAACACUCAAGUUUUGUGGGGAAGAUUAAGCCUGAGAAAUCUAAGAACAGUUUGACUAGUUACACUCUGGAAAUCUGGCAAGAGGAAAGGUGAGUGAUUAAGGUGGUUUCGGUCUAGCCCAUAGUGCUCAGCACUCUUUGGCACUGCUUGGUUUGGCAAAAUUGUUAACACCCUUCUGGAGGGAAGCUUGGGGCUGAGAGAUUAAGGGCAUUACAGGUCAAAGGUUGACUGUGUUAAUGUAUUUAUUUAGGAAACCAUUCAAAAGCCCUUAUUGACCUUGGCUUUUGGAGACCGGGGUUGUCAAUCCUUCACUUUUGUGAUCCCAUUUUCACCUAAAAAUGUUUUUGAGCAGCCCAGUAUCAAAACAGAAUCUAUGUACCUCAGGUAGAAACAUGUUGAACUACGAGGAACUGGAAUAAAUACUACGGACACUGGCAGCUUCGUUGGUUAGCUACCUAUCACGUGAGCUAUUCUUUCGUUCCUAUAAAUUUCGUUACUAUUUCAGGAGAGAAGGUAAGUUAUUUUUCAAAAAUAGGGUGGAAGGAAUGUUCUCUAUUAUUAAAAAAAAAAUUCCUCUUUCAAAAUGAAGCUUUCAGAUUCCUAAUCGUUUAGGGGAGCACUGUCUACCUGAAAAAAAAAUACGAGGUGUCUUUUAGUCUCAGGGGGGUUUAGCAACAAACCAUUAUUGUUUGCAGGCUGAUUGUUCUGAGAAGGCGAGCUGCCUUAAUGACAGCUUAGGCAGUAACAAUCCAUGAUAUAGUACUUACUUGGAUGUAGCAACAACUGUGCUCUAAGCCAAGAAGAAGGAGGAAAAAAGUCAGUAUCUUGUGCGUGAGAAGCUUGUAGAUACCCUGAGGUGACUUCAUAUAAUUCUAAAAUAGCAGGUAGCUUCUUGCAUAGCUAAUCAAGGCAUCAGCGCCUGGAGCAAGUGGAGGUGGCUGACAGUGUACUUUGGUUUCAGAUGCAUUCAGCUCUUUUUGAGUGAUAUGAGCUUAAUUCAUAUUCUGGUUUCUAUACUAAAAGUUUAUGUGUUCUGAUUUGGCAAAUAUCCUCCCCCACAACCUGACAGAGCGUGCUUUGAUAAAGCUGCCGAUCUUAACGUCUUACUUGCAUUUGUUCAUUUGUUCAUUAUAUGCGGUGAGAAAGUUCGUACAGCUGAAUAAAGGGAAGAGGGGUUUUUUUUUGUUUUUUGGGGUGUUUUUUUUUAAGCAUUGAGUUAUACCCCACCCUCCACUUCCAUUCAUUGCUCAGCAAAGGACAAAGGCGGCUCACCUGAAAAACUUGAAAUACACCCUGUAGGUAAGUGGAAAGAGCUCACAGAGAAAGGAGUCAUCCUGACUUUGUAAAGUAGGUAGGUCAUUUCUGGAGAGAGCAGCACCUUCAUGAAAGUGAAGGUCACAGAGUGACAUGCUUAGAUAGUUUUAAUUGCCAGCGUCUUGAGGUCUUCCAAAGAAAGUGUAACAUCAGUGGAUGGCUUUGGUUUGUCAUUAUGUCCAUCCAAGCUCUGGGCUGUGGUUUUGGUUCUAUAAAUCCCUCUGGUUUAAGAUGUAAAGGAAACGACUUCUCGUAGGGACCAUUGGCCACUUGCUAGGCAAUCACUGUCGCGAGGCAGAUCUGCCUUAUAAAACAGAGGGCUCAGGCUCAGUGCUCAGGAAGCUACAAGUGGAAACUCCACAUUCAAAGAGCCCAUAAUUUUACUCUAAUAGAUAUUUAGCAGCUUAAAUGAAAUAACAAGGAAUACAUUCACUCAGGCGCCAUCCAGGAGGAUUUGCUGGGUAUUUUACAUUCCACUCUUUGAAAGGAAAAACAUAAUUUUUUAUACUUUCCCAUGAUAUAUGAAUAUUUUGGUAUGCAAAGAGAUAAUACAUAGCAUACCUUUAAGGCUAAAUCAAGUUCUGUUUGGCCAAAGGGAUUUACUGCUAUCAGUAUAAUGCAGGCCAGUCAAUCAAGUUGAAUUUUUCCUCCAAAUCAGUGCAUUAGCGUUCAACCAGGCAGCCUCUUGCUUUUUUGGUCUGGUUUGUUCACAUGCUGCUCAAUUUUCAGGAUCAACAAAUACGAAUGCUGUAACUUCCGACUCCAUGCCUGUUUCUCCUUAUUCCCCAAGACCUAGCUCUCGGGGGUAGUUUGUGGUUUCAGUCAUUUUUCCUUUUAUCUUUUUUUUUUUAUUUAAAAAAAUAGUUUUCUUUAUUUUGAGAGAGAGAGAGAGCAUGCACAUGAGCGGGGGAGGGGCAGAGAGAGAGGGAGAGAGAGAAUCCCAAACAGGAUCUGCAUCGUCAGCACAGAGCCUGACUUGGGGCUCCAUCUCAGGAAUCGUGAGAUCAGGACCUGAGCCAAAAUCAGGAGUGGGAUGCUUACCCAACUGAGCCACCCAAGAGCCCCUGUGAUUUUUUUCUGUUAGCCACUCAGAACUCCAUGGGUCUAAGCAGAGUUUAUCAUCCUGCCCUCCUUCCAGUCUCAUACACCUUCAAGUCACAGCCCUGAUUCUUCUUUUGAUUCCCCUCUGACAUCUGUUCAGUGCCCUCCCUCCACGGUGCUUGCCCUCCUGUAGUCCCUCUGUGUCUCUAGGCUGGAGUCCUGUCGCAUCGACAGGACUGAGUGUGAUGGUUACUAUGGCAAAGCACUCAGGCUCUGCAGUUAGAACAGACCUUUGCACUUAGUGUACCACUUUCUGUUACUACCCAGCUGAAAUGUGGGGGAAAUAAUAGGACUUCCUCUUAAAUAGGAGCAGGCUAGUAAAAUACUUAGCAUGUUGCUUGGAUAGUUAGUGUUCCAUAAAUGGUCAUUAUGAGUGUCUGCUGGUCUUCCUCACCUCGCUACCUCCUCUUGUCACCAUCAGCAGAGUUGUCUUCCUUCUACUUGGAAUCAAUCGAGCUGCGGCCCUUCUCAGAAAUCCUGGGUCACGGCUAGUCCUGUUGGCUCAGGUUUGCACACAUUCAGAGCCAUCCCUCCAUAACUACUUCAUGCUCAAGUCGUCCUCUUUGCGCCCUUCCAGCCCCCUGGGACAAAGAGCACAGCCCAUUCCACUCUUGCACCUCGGUGCCUUCGCUCAUGCUCCACCUGGCAUGCUGCUCUCUGUUUCUGCCACUUGUUAGUAUUCUACUCAUCCCUUGUGGUCCUGUUCAAGUGACAUCUCUCCCCCCCAGGAAACCUUUUUAUAUAAAUAUGUUUGAAGUCUUUUUUGGCCAUCUGGUGAGAAUUGAUUACUCUUUUGGUCACGGUCUCAUGUCACUUUGCUCGUACCUCUGGUGAGACUUGCCCAGUUGCAUUUUGUAAUAGAGUUAGUUGCGGAUAUCCGUCUCCCUCACGGGAUUCUAAACAACUUCAGGGCAGGCAUUGUAGCAUUAAAAAAUCUCGCUAUCUACACAGUGCUGUGGUCAUAAUAUAUGAUCAAUAAAUGUUUUAGAAUUGAAUUAAAAUUAGAUAUUAUGUGGAUAGCAUCUAAAUAUCUGUAAGUGGACUGGACCCGCUGGGCACAUUUACUAUAAAACUUAGUAGGUGUGUGUGACUCUGGUGAUACGAGUGGGCCCUCCAAUGUCUUUGAUAGUCAGCAGCAGGGGGACUCCUCACUCACCCCAGAGCCUUGAUGAGAUAGCAGAUAGAAUGUGAGCUGGUGGGCAGGAGUCAUCUUUCACAUGGCUCGCAAUGGAGAGGUUAGAGGAUAGGGGGUUUCCUCCCUUGCUAAGAGGGUAGAGAGAGGGAGAGCUACUCUUGCUCGGGACAUAGUCCUAAAAUGUGAUUCCGGGUCACUCCAUGGUGAGAGCUGGACAGGGAGAGUUGGGAUUUACCCCUGGAUGACAGGAGGUUGACAUUUCCUAAAAAGCCCGAUUCCAGCCUAGAGGACACCCUUUGUCAUUGGAUAAAACGUUCGCUAGCGUGCAGGUGGGAAAGGUGCCCGGAAUCUGUUGAAACCUCUUUUCCCCUUCUUUUCUGGUGACAGGGCGGUGGCUGGGACAUGGCUGCCCACCUCAGGACUGCAGUUCCUGACAAGCUUGGCAGCUAGGUUUUAGGCAAAGAAAUGUGCUUAAAAUUUAUGUGUGCAACUUCUCACUCAUUUCCUGAGGGAAAGUCUCUGGCACUGGGUCUCUACUUUUUCUUCUCUUCCUACUGGCAGGGAUGGAAGCCAUUGAACUGACCUUGGAAGCCAUUUGUUGAAGAUGGCAGAGCUGUGUCAGCCUGGCUCACUGAACGCCUGGGCGAAACGGAGCCUCCUGUUGCAGUGAGAACAGUAUCAGCCGCUACAUUGCAUUUAUUAUAGUGGCUGUCGGUUCCCCCAUACAGGGUCUUUUCUUUUCCCAAAGCUGUCCCCAAAUAUUUGUUGAACACUGACUAUGUGUUAGGCCCCCACUACGUGCGAGAAUAAAAACAAGAAUGAAGGAUUCUCAGUCUCUGUCUUUAAGGAGUUUAUAGCUAGGUCCAACAGAUAAGACACAUUGUGAUAAAAAAACUAUACAGGCAUGCUCUCGCCAGACCAUGGUCAACCUACAACCUGAAGGUUAUAGGAAGAAAGAGAGGUUCCUUUCAACUGUAGUGAGCUAGAGAGUCCCACGAAGGAGCUGGGUUAGAAAGGUGGAGAGAUGCAAGGAAGACAUUCUGGACGGGCAAGUGCAGUGUGUAUUUUGAGAUUGGGGGAGGUGAUAGUGAACUCACAAGUUUGGACGGACUAAAACAAUUUGUUUUGGACCAGGGAGUAGCAGUAGUUACCUCUGGACAAGUUGUUGGGAUGUGACUGGGGCAACGUCUUGAAUACCAGAGCACCUUGGGAGUUGGUUUCUCCCGGCAGCCAGUGAGGAGCUGUCUAAGGCAACAUCAUUGCAUACCACUGUGAAUCUUCCAGUUUGCAUGUAGUAACCCAAGCAACAUUUUGUUUGUUCACAGAUUUGUUGUCCUGGCACCUCGCAGGAAGCUGUGAGAAAUUUGCUUCAGUCUCUAAAGUACAGUUUUCUACAAAUAGCUGGUUUGUGUACCGGGGGCCUAUGGCCAUUCCACAGAGCCAACUUCAGAGGAACAAAUACAUGGAUGGUUGUGUCAAUGGCUCAACCCUUUCCUUUUAACUCCACCUUUAAAACAAACUUCCUGUCAUCUCCCUAGGAAGAUUUUCUACAUUUUCUACACCAGUGACUUCUUACUGCACCUGUCUUUGUGUAAUUACUUCUUUUAAAAAAACACAAGUAAACUUUGCAUGUUUAAUCUCAUUCUUCUUACCUCACUAACUGGCAUUUUAUUGAUUUACCUGUUCAAGAAGUCAUGUUCAGACUCAGCUCCUCUGCAGUUACGCUUGUUUGUUUUUAUUUAUUAACCACCUAGCAACAUCGUCUUUACGGGAGCCCUCCUUAACAAUUGGUAUCCUACACACAUGUCUACAGUAUUGUGCCGAUUUUUCCAGCCAUACACACAUGUUUCUUCCUUUUGAACCAGUAGCAGGAAUCUCAAAACUUGAGAAAGUCAAGCUCAGAGAAAGUUUACUUCUAGGUGGUUUUCCUUGUCUUAUCUCCAAAGAGUUAGAUGUCUGUGGUCUUGAAAUGGCAAAAGUUUAGAUGAAGGAGAGUUUGACUGCAGCUGGCAAAAUUUGAGUCAUAACUUUCAACUUGGGCGGGCUAGCAUUAACUUCAGCGUGUUCCCUAAACAUGUGAGGGUAGAAGGCCAAGAUGCCGGAACAGUAUUCUGUGACCCUUUGUCCAAGAGUGACCUUUCUUGAAUUAUUGAAUCAGAUGUGGGAGAAGAUGGUGUGAAAACACGAAGGCUUCUCAGAUGUUUGAAUUUUAGAAGACAUUAUUCUUGCCAAUAUGAUGGAAAAUGUUGUAUAAUUCAUUUUAACAUUGUAGAAAAUCAGGAAUGGAAGCUCCUUUUGGGCCAUGGGAAAAAAAACUCUCAACUUAUAAAUGUUGAUAUCUCAGUAACUGUUUAACUUAUGGAAUAUUCUGUGGGUCUAAUCAACAGAAUUGUGAUCAACAGUGUGGUGAUUUAGCUUCGUUUUUAUCACAUUCUGGCAAGUUGUGUUUAAACAGGUCAUGAUAUCUUAUUCUUUAACUACUAUCUCUGUGUUUCCCCUCCUUACAAGAGCAGGGCUGUCAUUUAGAGAAGUGAGCCCACGUUGGUGCUAGAAUCACAAGGAUGCUUUUGCUGCAAUAUGGAUUUGGAGUGUACAGUGUAACCAUUUAUUUAUCUCCAUCCACAUAUGAAUUAGCUUGUUUUCCUAUCCCUCCCUGGCAGUUGCUGUUUCUUCUUUUAGUUGUUACUUUUUUUUCUCCCUACACAUUAUUUUUCUUAGUUUCUAAAUACCAUUGUUUUUGUUUUUAAAGUUUAUGGUUGGGGGAUGGGGGACAAUGGGGAAUGACUGUUAACGGGUAUAGGAUUUAUUUGGGGGGAUAAUGAAAAUGUUCUAAAAUUGAUUAUGGUAAUGGGUAUGUGACUCUGAAUACACACACACACACAAAAUAAUUGAAUUGUAUGCUGUAAACAUGUGCAUUUCUUGAGCACCUUGUAGAACCAGAUUCUCUGUGGGCCCUAGGAUCCGUGGUGAAUAAAAUGAGUAAGUUCCCUGUCCUCAAGGGAUUGGUAUUCAAGUGAUGGAAAUAAAUGCUAAAUAAUUAAAAAAUUAUUUUGUAUAGUAAUAAAUGCUCAAGAGAAUAUUUAAAGGUGAAAAUAUUAUAGAGAGUUUAUUUUAACAUAAGAUAGAAUCUUCAGGAGAGUUCUCUCUGAGAAGGUAACAUUUCAGGUGAUCCUAAACGGUAGAAGAGCAGCCAGACGUGUGCAUACUUGGGGCAAGAGCACUCCAGGCAAAGGGAAUAUACAGGGUCAAGUUCCAGGGUGGCUGGGUAUACCAGAGGGCGCAUGAUGUGCUGGGUAUACCAGAGGGCGCAGGUGUUGUAAGGGGAAAAGCCCUUUAUUUUUGUUGUAAUUACAAUGGACAGUCAUCGGGAGAUCAUAAGUAGGGGCAUGUUAGAGUUUGAUUUCCAUCUUCAAAAGACUUCAGAGACCAGUCAGAAGGCUGUGAUAAUGUUCCAGCUGUACUUGUGUUGUAGUGACAUUGGGGAGAUGUAACACGUGGUUGAUUUUGGAGGCACAGCCCAGUGUAUGUGUCUUUUAUAUUUCCCAGCAUAAUGUGGCAUAUACAAUGGAUGCUUUGUUGAAUGGAUGAAUGUUUGGAGAGGGCCGUAGGGGGAGAAAUAUCUAAGUAACAACGGAAGGCCAAUGAUACAUCGAAAUUUGGUGCCAUGAAAUAUUGACUUUUGAAUUUAUCAGUAGUUGUUGACUUCUUGAUGGAUGCUACUGUGGAUUGUAGUCCAAACUUGUAAUAUCAGCAGCGAUAAUGCCAGACUAAUUCCUUGCAUUUCACUGUUCAUCACAAUGCAAUGCGGAAAAAGAGGCUUUAAUUUGAGGUUAAAGAUAUUGUGUAAUGGAGAAGUAAGGGUAGCUUUACUUUUAAGGUGAUCUCUUUUCUAUACCUUGAUAUCUUCCCAUCAUUGCCUCCACUUGUCCUGGUGAUAUUUGUUAAGUUAUCAACACCUUUAAAAAAAAAAAACCCAAAACCUAGAAAUUAGAGGGUCAAUAUCUUUGUAGUGAUGUUCAUUUGGGAGCAGAAAUGGAAAUCAUGAGAUAUGGAACCUACUCUCUGCAGGAUCCAUCUCAUUAUCCAAGAUAUAAGGACACCAUAGGAGUCGCUGAGAAUUGCUUUCCAUAUUUAGAUUUAUGGUUUGUUAGAAAUUAACUGCAUCACAAUAGGUCUAUGCUCUGUUUCUGGGAAGUAGCUGGCAUGGAAGGGAAAGAACAUAUUCUCUGAAUAUCAGUUUAUAUCCUGGUUCUCUUGCUUACUGCAUGAGCUUGGGCAAAACACUUCAUUUCUGGGUUUGGUGUGCUAAGCUGCGAUAUGGUGGCAGUAAUCCACUGCUUUCAGAAAAUAACUGCCUUUCAGUAUAAUUUAUACAGGAGAUCACCUAUUUAAAGUAAUGCAAAGCAUGGUCUCUUUACUUCCUUUCCCUUUUCUUUCCUGAGGAAGUAGUUGUCAGGUGUAAUUUUAUUGCUUAUCAAUAUUGUACUUGUUGUAUGAACAUAGAGGGGCUGUAGUUCUGUGGAAAAGUCUCACCAUGGUGCUAAAUUGGGUGCAGAGUUCUGGCUUCCCUUUAGGACAUGCAUGGAUAACCAGCAUAGCCAAGGAUUAAAUGAGUGGAUGGUUUUCUGUGAUUAUGCCAGAAUCUCAACCAAGGAUAAAGAUAUACGACCUGGCAGAAAUAAAACUAAAGGUUAUAAGUACAUUUGGAUGAAGGCUACUGAGACUGGAAAAGGAUUGACCUUCCAUUCAGAUGCGAGCUUUUGACUUGGUUGCACUUUGCUUCCUCUCCAAACUGGCACUUUAUUUUCAGCCCUCAAAUAAAGAGCAACCAUUUGAUUUUGUAAUGUAAAAACUAUUAUUGCCCUUAGGAAAAGGAUUACUGAACUUUCUGUACCUAGUGUUUAUGCCUUUAAUAAGCACAGUGUUUCCAAGAGAAUUGAAUGCCUUUUUGUACUGUGAUGUUUUUCUACCACUGAAUCUGAGUUUUGUACCUUAAUGUCUGGGAAACUUGUUUUUAUAAAUUCACAGAAACCUGACAAACAGUAGGAAUUUGUUCUCUGUCCUGUAGAGAUGGGCAAAUCCCUAAAGAGCUUGUUGAUCUCAUGCUAGCUACUUUGCUGUGAGCCAGGCGCCUUUCUUUUCUAAGGGAAAGAUUUAUACAGGGGAAUAAGGUUCAUGGGAAAUAGCAGACUCAGGUAACUGCAGUGUUAACAGGCAGCACCACAUAUCGUGGGUUCAUCCACUUACCUACGGAAACUCUUACAGGCUCUAACAUUUGAUUGUGCUUUACAGGUUGCAUAUAGUAUUGCAUUUUGAUUCCAACUAUGGCAUCAUAAAGGGCAAUGACAUACAAAGACCUGGUACUGUCCUAAAUAUUAAAAGCCAAAACACGAAGAGGAAGAGUUUAAGUGUGGGGCAAUGAAGCUGGAGAGAAAAGCAAGAGUCAGAUGGCAAAGUGUUUUGUGUGCCAACUUCAAG